rnacentral:rRNA from 1 species
UCGAUUGAGUUUGAUCAUGGCUCAGGACGAACGCUGGCGGCGUGCUUAACACAUGCAAGUGGAGCGACGAACCGGGCUUCGGCCCGGGGCAAAGCCGCGAACGGGUGAGUAACACGUGGGUUACCUGCCCCGAUGACUAGGACAACCCGGGGAAACCCGGGCUAAUACCGGAUGUGCCCUACGGGGGAAAGGAAGCUUCGGCCUCCGCAUCGGGAUGGGCCCGCGGCCCAUUAGCUUGUUGGUGAGGGUAACGGCCCACCAAGGCUUCGAUGGGUAGCUGGUCUGAGAGGACGAUCAGCCACACUGGGACUGAGACACGGCCCAGACUCCUACGGGAGGCAGCAGUGGGGAAUCUUGCGCAAUGCGCGAAAGCGUGACGCAGCAACGCCGCGUGGGGGAAGACGGCCUUUGGGUUGUAAACCCCUUUCAGUUGGAACGAAGCUUCGCCGGUGAAUAGCCGGCUGGAGUGACGGUACCUUCAGAAGAAGCCCCGGCUAACUACGUGCCAGCAGCCGCGGUAAUACGUAGGGGGCAAGCGUUGUCCGGAAUUAUUGGGCGUAAAGAGCGUGUAGGCGGUUCGGUAAGUCCGCUGUGAAAGUCCAGGGCUCAACCCUGGAAAGCCGGUGGAUACUGCCGGGCUAGAGUCCGGAAGAGGCGAGUGGAAUUCCUGGUGUAGCGGUGAAAUGC